GGAAAUGUGCCCGAAAAUUAAGGGUUACUUUGAUAGAGUAAACCACAGAGGUUGAAACCCUCUCAUUUCCU
rnacentral:tRNA from 1 species